CCAGCUGAGACUCAUUGACUAAUUAUUCUCUUCCUACAGACUACCCCAGACAGCCAGAGAGGCUGGGAAAACUUUGUUUGUUUGUAUGAGUUGCUGUGCGAAGAGGAGACACCUCGACCAGUGCACCAAGCCGGGCAGGCCAGAGGCCAGUUCGAGUGGUCUUGUGUUUAUUGUGAAAUAUUGUGUAUGUGAGUAUGCUGAGAGCGUUGUCAUAGCUUACACUAAAAACAAAGUGCACUUUAAAGAGUUCAUCAAAGGCUGCCAAUGAGGUGGUUCCCUGGCAGGAGAUGAGCUUCUUGUCCAUCACAACGUAGUAAGAGCUGAUGGCGUGCUUGCAGGUUCCAGAAGUAAGAAGUAAGAUGUCCCUCCUGGUUCUCUAGAUGUUCUUCUAGACUCUUGCAUGACUGUGAGAAAAAUUACAUAUCGAGUUACAUCUUUAGUCUGUGCGACGUUUCCCACUUAAAUCACAUACUUUGGCCCAGUACAUAACUUGUGAAACACAACCAGAUGGUCCAUGGCUUGAGCUACGCUGAUCUUCUGUGUUUUCUUUUUAGUAGGCUGAGGUGGUAGGAUAUGCAGAAGCAGCAGGAAAGAUGCCAUAUGACACUCAUGAUCACUCUGAUGUAUGCCACUUCUCAAGACGUUUGGCAGCUGUUUCUGGUCCAAAGAAACAAGAGAAGCCUAAAGAAAAGGAUGCCAACACUUACCAGCCCUUCAGUGUCCAGCAACCUUGGAAACACUGAGAGUACGGUGUGUGAUUCAUCAGGAUUGUGGAUGAGGCGCUGUCUAUAGUCACAGGUUGUCUUCAUCUUCUGCCGGAUGAUUUCUCUGUUACUGGUGUGGUUCAUCAAGGAUAUGACCUCUUUACAAUGCUCUUCAUCCAACUGACCACCAAUCUGAGGCAGCUCCCUCUCCUGUCUUGGACCACCUUCUCCUGCUGUCUGCAUUUUCGGUUCCUUGGCCACAAGUUUUGUCUCUCUCUGAAUUAUCUUGAGCCGCCAUGCCAGAAAUCCAGAGCGACUUUGGCUGUUGUAAAAAUGUUCCUUACAGACAGAGAACAUAUACAUAAUUAAGCUCAACUUCAUAAUCAGCAAAUAGCAGGAGCCCCCUUGUAACAAUUGUUCAUAUUACAAAUAAAAGUCAGGCAUCAGAACAAUUCUAAAGCUAAGCACCUAGCUAAAACCUAUACAGUUACCUACACAUGCCUGCAAUAAAUCCUACCUUCCUGACAGUUCUAAUGUUCAGUUUUUGAGUUAUACUGAGAGGUGCACCUAACAUUUGACCCACCCCAUUUUUAUCAAUGAGGGUAGACUAAAUAUUAGAAACACCUCUCAGUAUAACAAUACAUUUCACAGUAGCACAAACUACAGCAUCUAAAAUGGCCAUAAAGUUGAAU